GCGAUUUCCAGCAAAAGUGUUAAACACCUAUGCCGGGAAAUCAGUCCUCUGGACUGAUUUCUGAUCCCGCUUCGAUGCGUAGGAUAAUGCAACAAAACAAUGAGAUAGGGCAACUUGGCAAAACUGGCGCUGCCCUGGCAGAGGAAAAUACGCAUAUGAAAUUCAGCUUGAACCGUCGUCAGGCGCUUCUUGGCAUGGGGGCAGCC
rnacentral:misc_RNA from 1 species